UAGGGAAUCUUCGGCAAUGGACGAAAGUCUGACCGAGCAACGCCGCGUGAGUGAAGAAGGGUUUCGGAACGUAAAACUCUGUUGUUAGAGAAGAACAAGGACGUUAGUAACUGAACGUCCCCUGACGGUAUCUAACCAGAAAGCCACGGCUAACUACGUGCCAGCAGCCGCGGUAAUACGUAGGUGGCAAGCGUUGUCCGGAUUUAUUGGGCGUAAAGCGAGCGCAGGCGGUUUCUUAAGUCUGAUGUGAAAGCCCCCGGCUCAACCGGGGAGGGUCAUUGGGAACUGGGAGACUUGAGUGGAGAAGAGGAGAGUGGAAUUCCAUGUGUAGCGGUGAGAUGCGACAUUAUAUGGAGGAACACCAGUGGCGAAGGCGGCUCUCUGGUCUGGAACUGACGCUGAGGCUCGCAAGCGUGGGGAGCAAACAGU
rnacentral:rRNA from 1 species